GUUUGUUGUUUGCGCGUGCGCGCUUAUUGUGGUCGUGAUUGGAGAACCGGUGCCACCGCCGCCUGCGACCAUCAAAACGCCUAACAAAGAACCCAAAAUGGUGCAAGAGAAAACUACAAUACUAGUUAGAAGGUUACGGGCUGGAUACUAUCCGUUUAGUUUGUGGCCGUUAUAUCCAGUUAAAGCCGUGGAGAUGGAAUCUCACGAAACAUUCCACAACAGACGACGUUUACAAGAACAAGCGAAGCAGGAUAAGAGUUGGUUUUGGAUAUAGAUGCUAAAUUUAAUUAGGGAUACUGUGAGAUAAUUUCUUUCUUUAAGCAGGGUUGCCAACCUUAAAAAAGCAUUUAACCCUCGUACAAAGAAGUCAAAAAUCUUGUAUAUUGACUUAAUUGAGUUCUCUAGCCUUAUAGGUAUCCCGUUUUAACCGAUUUUUAGGUAAAAACCUUGAAUAUAUUUUUUUUAAUGUAACAUUAAUACUAGAUAUAAAAACAAAUUUGCUGUUCCUAAGUAUCGUUUAGAAAAGUCAAUGGGUCUUUUAUGGGAAUGGGACUUUCUUGUGAUGGCAAUACCGAGAACUAAUCUUAAAAUUUCAUCCGAGAGCCGGCGGUAGUGUCGCCUUUGUCACAUGUGACCACGGCUAACAUUUGCAAAUAGAAUAUUUCUUCUGUGCUGUGUUCUAUUUCUAAUGUGCAGGGUGUGAAUUUUUUGAAACAACAAUACAUUAAUUUUGAAAACAAUUACACAUGACAUUGGAUAUAUCUUUCAUGGGUGAUAAUGGAAUGGUAGGUAUACCCGCCUGCGAUAACAGUAUACCUUGGUAGGGCACCAGUGGAGGAUGAUAAGAUGAGAAUGAAGACAGAUAGUCAGGUCAGUUAGCCUCUCAUGACAAUCUCACCAGGAAAAUUGUUACUAUUAAUUAAUAAUAAACAUGUGUAUUAAUUUCUUCGUUAAUUAUUAUUUUACAAUUGUACUUUUUUAACCUGCAUCUCAUGCGUGCUCAAGUUAAAUUUACAAAAUUUUGUACCUAGUGAUUAGUUGAUUUGAUUUU